AGUGAACGCUGGCGGCGUGCUUAACACAUGCAAGUCGAACGAGAACGGAAUAUAGCUUGCUAUAUUUGUCAGCUAAGUGGCGCUCGGGUGAGUAAUGUAUAGAUAACCUGCCCUUAAGAAAGGAAUAACAGUUGGAAACGACUGCUAAUGCCCUAUAUGCCUUUAAUACAUAAGUAUGCAAGGGAAACGCUUUAGUGCUUAAGGAUGGGUCUGUAUGGUAUCAGCUUGUUGGUGAGGUAAUGGCUCACCAAGGCUAUGACGCCUAACUGGUUUGAGAGGAUGAUCAGUCACACUGGAACUGAGACACGGUCCAGACUCCUACGGGAGGCAGCAGUGGGGAAUAUUGCACAAUGGACGAAAGUCUGAUGCAGCAACGCCGCGUGGAGGAUGACACAUUUCGGUGCGUAAACUCCUUUUAUAUAGGAAGAUAAUGACGGUACUAUAUGAAUAAGCACCGGCUAACUCCGUGCCAG
rnacentral:rRNA from 1 species